AACGAACGCUGGCGGCAUGCCUAACACAUGCAAGUCGAACGAGACCUUCGGGUCUAGUGGCGCACGGGUGCGUAACGCGUGGGGACCUGCCCUUAGGUUCGGAAUAACUCCCCGAAAGGGGUGCUAAUACCGGAUAAUGUCUUCGGACCAAAGAUUUAUCGCCUUUGGAUGGGCCCGCGUUGGAUUAGCUAGUUGGUAGGGUAAAAGCCUACCAAGGCGACGAUCCAUAGCUGGUCUGAGAGGAUGAUCAGCCACACUGGGACUGAGACACGGCCCAGACUCCUACGGGAGGCAGCAGGGGGGAAUAUGGGACAAUGGCGAAAGCCUGAUCCAGCAAUGCCGCGUGAGUGAUGAAGGCCUUAGGGUUGUAAAGCUCUUUUACCCGGGAUGAUAAUGACAGUACCGGGAGAAUAAGCUCCGGCUAACUCCGUG
rnacentral:rRNA from 1 species